rnacentral:rRNA from 1 species
UUAAGCAUAUCAAUAAGCGGAGGAAAAGAAACCAACAGGGAUUGCCCUAGUAACGGCGAGUGAAGCGGCAACAGCUCAAAUUUGAAAUCUGGCUCUUUCAGAGUCCGAGUUGUAAUUUGCAGAGGGCGCUUUGGCUUUGGCAGCGGUCCAAGUUCCUUGGAACAGGACGUCACAGAGGGUGAGAAUCCCGUACGUGGUCGCUAGCUAUUGCCGUGUAAAGCCCCUUCGACGAGUCGAGUUGUUUGGGAAUGCAGCUCUAAAUGGGAGGUAAAUUUCUUCUAAAGCUAAAUAUUGGCCAGAGACCGAUAGCGCACAAGUAGAGUGAUCGAAAGAUGAAAAGCACUUUGGAAAGAGAGUCAAACAGCACGUGAAAUUGUUGAAAGGGAAGCGCUUGCAGCCAGACUUGCUUGCAGUUGCUCAUCCGGGCUUUUGCCCGGUGCACUCUUCUGUAGGCAGGCCAGCAUCAGUUUGGGCGGUGGGAUAAAGGUCUCUGUCACGUACCUCUCUUCGGGGAGGCCUUAUAGGGGAGACGACAUACCACCAGCCUAGACUGAGGUCCGCGCAUCUGCUAGGAUGCUGGCGUAAUGGCUGUAAGCGGCCCGUCUUGAAACACGGACCAAGGAGUCUAACAUCUAUGCGAGUGUUUGGGUGUCAAGCCCGAGCGCGUAAUGAAAGUGAACGGAGGUGGGAACCCGCAAGGGUGCACCAUCGACCGAUCCUGAAGUUUACGGAAGGAUUUGAGUAAGAGCAUGGCUGUUGGGACCCGAAAGAUGGUGAACUAUGCUUGAAUAGGGUGAAGCCAGAGGAAACUCUGGUGGAGGCUCGCAGCGGUUCUGACGUGCAAAUCGAUCGUCAAAUUUGGGCAUAGGGGCGAAAGACUAAUCGAACUAUCUAGUAGCUGGUUCCUGCCGAAGU